rnacentral:rRNA from 1 species
CAAUAGCGUAUAUUAAAGUUGUUGCAGUUAAAAAGCUCGUAGUUGGACUUCUGGGCCGUUUUGUUGGUCUGCCGCAAGGCAGCACUAGCGGGAUGGCCCAUCCUCUCGAAGGCUGGGGGUGCUCUUAACUGGGUGCUUUCAGAACUCGGGAUCUUUACUUUGAAAAAAUUAGAGUGUUCAAAGCAGGCUUACGCUUGAAUACAUUAGCAUGGAAUAAUGGAAUAGGACUUUGGUUCUAUUUUGUUGGUUUCUAGGACCGAAGUAAUGAUUAAUAGGGACAGUGGGGGCAUUCAUAUUCCAUUGUCAGAGGUGAAAUUCUUGGAUUAACGGAAGAUGAACUUCUGCGAAAGCAUCUGCCAAGGAUGUUUUCAUUGAUCAAGAACGAAAGUUAGGGGAUCGAAGAC